GAUGAAGAACGCAGCAAAAUGCGAUAAGUAAUGUGAAUUGCAGAAUUCAGUGAAUCAUCGAAUCUUUGAACGCACCUUGCGCCCUUUGGCCAUUCCGAAGGGCAUGCCUGUUUGAGUAUCAUGAACACCUCAACUCUUUAUGGUUUUCCAUGAUGAGCUUGGACUCUGGGGGUUUUGCUGGCUCACAGUCGGCUCCUCUAAAAUGAAUCAGCUUACCAGUGUUUGGUGGGUAUCAUGGGUGUGAUAACUAUCUACGCUUGUGGUUUUUCCACCAGGUAACCUUCAGCAGUGGAGGUUCGCUGGAGCUCAUAGAUGUCUCUCCUCAGUGAGGACAGCCCUUUGAAUGUUUGAUCUCAAAUCAGGUAGGACUACCCGCUGAACUUAAGCAUAUCAAUAAGCGGAGGA
rnacentral:misc_RNA from 1 species